rnacentral:rRNA from 1 species
ACACAUGCAAGUCGAACGGUAACAGGAAGCAGCUUGCUGCUUCGCUGACGAGUGGCGGACGGGUGAGUAAUGUCUGGGAAACUGCCUGAUGGAGGGGGAUAACUACUGGAAACGGUAGCUAAUACCGCAUAACGUCGCAAGACCAAAGAGGGGGACCUUCGGGCCUCUUGCCAUCGGAUGUGCCCAGAUGGGAUUAGCUAGUAGGUGGGGUAACGGCUCACCUAGGCGACGAUCCCUAGCUGGUCUGAGAGGAUGACCAGCCACACUGGAACUGAGACACGGUCCAGACUCCUACGGGAGGCAGCAGUGGGGAAUAUUGCACAAUGGGCGCAAGCCUGAUGCAGCCAUGCCGCGUGUAUGAAGAAGGCCUUCGGGUUGUAAAGUACUUUCAGCGGGGAGGAAGGCGAUAAGGUUAAUAACCUUGUCGAUUGACGUUACCCGCAGAAGAAGCACCGGCUAACUCCGUGCCAGCAGCCGCGGUAAUACGGAGGGUGCAAGCGUUAAUCGGAAUUACUGGGCGUAAAGCGCACGCAGGCGGUCUGUCAAGUCGGAUGUGAAAUCCCCGGGCUCAACCUGGGAACUGCAUUCGAAACUGGCAGGCUAGAGUCUUGUAGAGGGGGGUAGAAUUCCAGGUGUAGCGGUGAAAUGCGUAGAGAUCUGGAGGAAUACCGGUGGCGAAGGCGGCCCCCUGGACAAAGACUGACGCUCAGGUGCGAAA